rnacentral:lncRNA from 1 species
CUGUCUUGAUAACUGGAGAUCAACAAAGGUAUGGAUUCAUGAUCAUUUUGUUCUUUGAAUUGCACUUACUUGUAAAUGCUCAACUACUCGACCAUCCUAAAAUCUACCCAAAACAGCAGACAUGCUAGUAGCAUUUGUUAAUCAUGAGUUUAGUCUCACUCUAACUAGUUUGUUUAUUACACAUCACGCAGGAAGGUUUUGCAUUUUCACAUUGCACUGAGUGUCGCGCAGCAUUCUUACUUCGUGCAAAUGUUCCUCCAGAUCGGUGGUGGUUAAGACUGAAGUUCCAACUUCUGGUUGCUAGAGAUCACACAUUGAUCUUUUUUAUUGUGCAACUAGUAAGAUGUUCACACCAUUUAUAGUCUAGUUCAAUGAACUACUUUUCUUCAGUGAUCUAACAAUAGUUCGCACCAGACGUUCUGUUUCUAGAUAUGUUGUUGUCUAUUUUUAUGAUUUUGAUGAUGUUAUAAUACACAGCCAAGUACACUAGUUAUUACUACAUUGGACCUCUUUGUGAUUGCAAUGCCAAACAUGUGCUCUGUUUUGUCUUAGACAUGUUAAGCUAAUGUCAUCCAGAAGCAUAUUCGCUGAUAAGAGGAAAAUAAUAAUGGGAAAACAAGUUGCUGUUAGUUUCUUUCUAAAGAUUCUGAUGAACUUACAUGGAUGUGUGUUGCUGAGAUUGAUAACAUUUUCUUGCUUGUAGUUCUGCAAAAUUUUGUUUUGGUAAAUAUAGAAAUAAACAUAUCGCUAUUUUUGUUUACUGCAUCAGAAAAGGGCAGUAUGCAUCCUCAAAAUGACCAUUCAAAUAAUGCAAUAUGCACUGAGAUUAUAUAUCAUUGUUUUUUAUCUUACAAACUUGAUUUUCUUUUUGCCUGAUAGGUUGUUGUUUUCUUGGGUAUGCUGGUAUACAGAUUAUAUGGAGAUGAACUGCGAGAAAUGUUUGGUUAUGAAGAGCAUCCAUAUGCUUUUUAUGCAUUGGCAAGUAAGUUCCAUUUUCAUAAUGAGGCCUACUGUCCUUUAAAUGUUGCAGAUUAUCUUCUCUAUGGUUUUAAAAAAAUUCUUGAAUUGCCACUUAUUUAAAAGCUUGAUGAGAACUAGAUAACUUAUGCGGUUAUGCCCAAUUGCCCAUUAUUGUACUGGAUCUCUUCUUAUCUGUUCAAUUAUUCAAUGCUGUCAAUAUGGUUUGGCAUGUACUUAUUUAAGAGUAGCCACUUCAUUCUUUACAUCUUUCAUUUUAUUUUAUAGCCACUAUUAAGUUGUAUGGUGUUAAAAUAAACUUAUGCUGGCACAAUCCCUAUGUAUUUCUUUAUCUACUGUGAGGAUAUAAAGCAUCAUGAUGUAGUUUAUGAUUGAUAUCAGUAACAGCUUUGGCCCUUUGAGUUGAAAAAUAACCUACAAUGUACUUCAUAUAGGGUGAGUAAUGGUUAUCUAAGUGCAGUCUGUGCUUUGGGCAAGCAUGAAAAGACCUGUCAUAUGUAUUUGUUUUCAUAGUUCAGAUGAUCGUUUAGACUCUUAAAUUGUAGAAAGACAUAGUUGUUAUAGAGAAGUUUAAAUGCUCAAUGGGAGCUACAGGAAAAGAACACAGCGCAGACUAGAUGAGGAUGUAGCGACACUUGUCUAUCCUGCGUUGGCAUUUAGCUUAGCAUUUUUUAUUGUACAAGUACUAACAUGCAUGAUAUAUUCUUUAUUCUUCAUGGCUAUCUAUGUACAGGACAUCUGAAUAUAUUAUGUGUGCUGUACAUGAAGCACUUACAAAGAUUUUGUCUUAAUAUUUUCAACAAUUACUCAAACUGCAGUACUGGCUAUUAUUUUGGUUGGUUUGCUGUAUGGAUUCUUCAUAGCUAUAAUAUGUGGACAGAGGAUCACUGAACGCCACUACCAUGUUCUUGCAAAGCAAGAGUUAACCAAGGUUGGUAGAAAAAAGAAAAACCGAAACAAACCUGUUGAUUAAUCUUCCAUUUCAAGAAGUGCACUUCUUUUUUGUAACUCUAGUAAAUUGUCACUUCUGCCACCCAAGUACUAUGAACAGUCCAAUAUGUUUGGAAAUCUGAAUGACAAAAUAAGAAUAGAGGAUUCCAAUUUGUUCCAUAUCUUUCACCUUUUACAAUACAACAAGAUGCAAUGCUUUUGCAUUUUCUCAAGAGAAACAAAUGAUUUUGGUUUCCUCUCUUGUCCUGUCAAUCUAGCAUGAUCCCACUGGGGUAAGAGCAUGGUGUUCCCAUGCCACGGACAAAAAAUGCUGUUUUUUGGUAGAGCUAUGCGUCUUCUUUUUCUUUAUCCUGGCAUAAAAUAGCUUCUUAGCAUUACAACUUUUGAAACUGUAGCUCCUUUUCUUAUGAUUUACUCCCUCCGUUUCUAAAUUCUUGCCUCAUAAACUAAUGUUUAAUUUGAACUAAAACCACAACAAGAAUUUAGAAACGGAGGGAGUAGCAUCUGUUUGCCUCAUAAAGUAAUGUUCAAGUCAACUAUUUGCCCAUACUAUGUGAUAUUCCUUCUAUGGCAGGAGUAUAUCGUAGAGGAUCUUGAAGGAGCUGAUCUAAUGCCAGACCUUGAUCCUACCCAUGUUACAGAGCUGAGGACACUGGGACUAUUGAGCAUGACUGCAUCUAGCAUCAGGUAGGCAAUUUAACAUCUCGUUGAUGUACAACAUCCUCUUAGCUCAGUCAGUUGUUAUGGUGUAUAUUCUCUACUUGUCUAGAAAAUCACUCUUUGCAGCUUAUAGGUGUAUGCGUAACUGAGUUUCCAGAUAGCAAUCAGUCUAUUAAAUUGUUGUCACAAACAUUUCACACAUUCUGAUUUUGUUUUGGGCCUCUGCAAUUGUUCCCCUUCCACAGUUUAUUUUUAUGACGGGCAGUCCAUUAUCAGACCUAAAUGUUUCUUUUCUUCAUAAUUCAAGCAAUUACAGGGUUUCUAUAUAUCUAAAGUGUUUCAAGUCCAUUUCUUUUCAUAUCCAUGGUCGCAUUACUGGCUGCAUGGAAACAUUGGGAAGAGAGUGAAUAAAGAUAUACAGGGUUGGUCUUUUUUCAUUUUUCUUUUUUCUUUUAGUGCUCAUGGACCUCUGUCCUUGUUGUUACGAGUUUGUGAACCCAGUAUAGUUUAUGGGAUACCCUUGUAUUAAAGAAUUUCUUUGUGCGAAGUUCUCCAUUUGUUUAACUGGAGACUAUAUAUCUAUGGAUCAUUGAGAUGUUGCUGCUGAAUGUGCAGUUAGUUGAAACUUGAAUGCCACAGAUAGUUCUUUCAUUGUAAAAGGAUGUACAGAAGAAGCUAAUUUUGGGGCGACUGAAAAAGGUUGGAUUUACCUUGGAUUUUGGUAACAAUGUACAGAGCAUCAUGUUGAGAAUCAUCCUCUUGCAAGGGAAUAGCUUGGAUCUGUUGGUUCCAAGACAAAUGGGCGGUAGCAGAGAAUAUUAGAGGUAAAAUACUAUCUAUUUCCAACUUGAUCUACAAAUGAGAAAGCAAAAGUAUUUGCAUCAAUACAACAAUUGUAUGAAUUCCCCAAACAUUUUAGUGUCAUAGUUUUCAUGAUAAAAAAGAGAGCACAUAAAGAGUAGCUUUGACCCACCUCUCAAAGCCGUGUCCUUCAGCUGUUGCAAGUCUUCUCAUCGAGUUCUUGAGGCCUUGAAGAUCAAGCAGAAAAGCAAUCCAGCGUA